rnacentral:rRNA from 1 species
AGAGUUUGAUCCUGGCUCAGGAUGAACGCUGGCGGCAUGCCUAAUACAUGCAAGUCGAACGAAGUUUCGAGGAAGCUUGCUUCCAAAGAGACUUAGUGGCGAACGGGUGAGUAACACGUAGGUAACCUGCCCAUGUGUCCGGGAUAACUGCUGGAAACGGUAGCUAAAACCGGAUAGGUAUACGGAGCGCAUGCUCUGUAUAUUAAAGCGCCCAUCAAGGCGUGAACAUGGAUGGACCUGCGGCGCAUUAGCUAGUUGGUGAGGUAACGGCCCACCAAGGCGAUGAUGCGUAGCCGGCCUGAGAGGGUAAACGGCCACAUUGGGACUGAGACACGGCCCAAACUCCUACGGGAGGCAGCAGUAGGGAAUUUUCGUCAAUGGGGGAAACCCUGAACGAGCAAUGCCGCGUGAGUGAAGAAGGUCUUCGGAUCGUAAAGCUCUGUUGUAAGUGAAGAACGGCUCAUAGAGGAAAUGCUAUGGGAGUGACGGUAGCUUACCAGAAAGCCACGGCUAACUACGUGCCAGCAGCCGCGGUAAUACGUAGGUGGCAAGCGUUAUCCGGAAUCAUUGGGCGUAAAGGGUGCGUAGGUGGCGUACUAAGUCUGUAGUAAAAGGCAAUGGCUCAACCAUUGUAAGCUAUGGAAACUGGUAUGCUGGAGUGCAGAAGAGGGCGAUGGAAUUCCAUGUGUAGCGGUAAAAUGCGUAGAUAUAUGGAGGAACACCAGUGGCGAAGGCGGUCGCCUGGUCUGUAACUGACACUGAGGCACGAAAGCGUGGGGAGCAAAUAGGAUUAGAUACCCUAGUAGUCCACGCCGUAAACG